AAACACCCGGUGGGAGAAGCGGCCCGGCCCUCAAGCCAGAGCCCGCUGCCGAAGGCGCAACGCCCGUAAUCGCUCAGGCCCCAUACCGCCGCGUGUAC
rnacentral:ncRNA from 1 species